UACGUAGGGGGCAAGCGUUGUCCGGAAUUACUGGGCGUAAAGCGCACGUAGGCGGCUUUGUAAGUUAGAGGUGAAAGCCUGGAGCUCAACUCCAGAAUUGCCUUUAAGACUGCAUCGCUUGAAUCCAGGAGAGGUGAGUGGAAUUCCGAGUGUAGAGGUGAAAUUCGUAGAUAUUCGGAAGAACACCAGUGGCGAAGGCGGCUCACUGGACUGGUAUUGACGCUGAGGUGCGAAAGCGUGGGGAG
rnacentral:rRNA from 1 species